UACAGAGAGUGCAAACGUUGUUCGGAAUUACUGGGCGUAAAGGGCUCGUAGGCGGCCAACUAAGUCAGACGUGAAAUCCCUCGGCUUAACCGGGGAACUGCGUCUGAUACUGGAUGGCUUGAGUUUGGGAGAGGGAUGCGGAAUUCCAGGUGUAGCGGUGAAAUGCGUAGAUAUCUGGAGGAACACCGGUGGCGAAGGCGGCAUCCUGGACCAACACUGACGCUGAGUGAGCGAAAGCCAGGGGAGCAAACGGG
rnacentral:rRNA from 1 species